GUUAAUAAGGGCGCACGGUGGAUGCCUUGGCACUAAGAGCCGAUGAAGG
rnacentral:rRNA from 2 species